rnacentral:rRNA from 1 species
ACUCCUAACGGGAGGCAGCAGUGGGGAAUAUUGCACAAUGGGCGCAAGCCUGAUGCAGCCAUGCCGCGUGUAUGAAGAAGGCCUUCGGGUUGUAAAGUACUUUCAGCAGUGAGGAAGGUAGUGUAGUUAAUAGCUGCAUUAUUUGACGUUAGCUGCAGAAGAAGCACCGGCUAACUCCGUGCCAGCAGCCGCGGUAAUACGGAGGGUGCGAGCGUUAAUCGGAAUUACUGGGCGUAAAGCGCAUGCAGGUGGUUUGUUAAGUCAGAUGUGAAAGCCCGGGGCUCAACCUCGGAAUUGCAUUUUGAAAACGUGGCAGACUAGAGUACUGUAGAAGGGGGGUAGAAUUUCAGGUGUAGCGGUGAAAUGCGUAGAGAUCUGAAGGAAUACCGGUGG